rnacentral:rRNA from 1 species
GGCACGAACCCCCUAUCUAAUCCUCCCCGGGGGGACUUACGGCCCCCUGAAACAAACCAAAGGGUAUGGCCGGGCCAGCAACCGUGGUAAUACGGAGGGUGCAAGCGUGGUUCGGAAUUAUUGGGCGUAAAGCGCGUGUAAGCGGUCGUUUAAGUCUGAUGUGAAAGCCCUGGGCUCAACCCGGGAAGUGCAUUGGAAACUGGAUGACUUGAGUACGGGAGAGGGUAGUGGAAUUCCGAGUGUAGGGGUGAAAUCCGUAGAUAUUCGGAGGAACACCGGUGGCGAAGGCGGCUACCUGGACCGAUACUGACGCUGAGACGCGAAAGCGUGGGGAGCAAACAGGAUUAGAUACCCUGGUAGUCCACGCCGUAAACGAUGGGUACUAGGUGUCGCGGGUAUUGACCCCUGCGGUGCCGAAGCUAACGCAUUAAGUACCCCGCCUGGGGAGUACGGUCGCAAAGGCUAAAACUCAAA